CCUCUCCUUAUUUCUGUUAUGUUGCAGUUUUGUCUUGCAUUGGACCAUUUUGCAGUCUCUAAUCAGUCAGUGUUCCAGGGAGUCUUUGCAGAAACUUAUGCACUCUAAUACUCUAUACCCUGCAACGAUUUUCUCAUUGCAUAAUUAUAUAUCACAAAGUUAUAUGUUGUUUAUUCCCCUUCACGCUGGUUGUUAUUCUACAGCUUCUUGCAGGACCUUGCCUAUUUGGAUCUAUAUGCCUAAGUUAUUGGCUCAUGGGUUUCCUCAUAUUUUAUUUGUUCGAUGCACCAAUUUCAUAGGCAGGUUAAUCUG
rnacentral:lncRNA from 1 species